CAACCCACCCCCGCAUUUCCGCCCUGAGACUAGGAUCCCAGCGCCAGGGACCCAGACCCUGGGAUUGAUCGCACAGAGCCGUGAUCCGGAGAGUGCGCCGGGGAUGAGACGGAAUCUCGGGGCCACUCGAGAGCUUGGGGCAGGAACCAUGCAUCCAUUGUCCAUCGUGACUGCAUGUGGAGCAGCUAUUUGGCCUGGGAACAGCUGUAGAGAGCGGGGAGCGACUGGCUCGCCACUGGCGCGCCCUGGGGGAACCCGCCCAAGGUGCCCUCCUCCCCAGACUGCCCUCCCAGCCUCGAAGACGGCAAUCCAGCGCCCACUGCUCCCUGGACUCUGGGCAAGGCCAAGACUCAGGCCUGCUCCAGAUUUGAGAACCCAAACAACUCAGAGGGUGAGGAAAUUGACCUUGUGACAGCAAAGAAAAGGCAGAUUGGGUUUACAGAAGUCGAUCACCAUCAUGGUUCGAGUAGACCGUCUGAACCCCUGCAUGAAACACUUCCAUACCUCCAUCCACCAGCAACAACACAACUGCGCUGCCCAUAUUUCUCCAGAAAGCUGCUCCCAAGAAGAGGCUCCAGAGAGAGGUCUCCAAGAAGAGGUUCUGGAGGGAGAUGCUCCAGGGGAAACGGAAGAUGAGGAGGAUGAGGGGAUUGUGAGCCCCUCACCUAUAGAAAGCAAGGCUGCCCAGUGCUGCCAGUUCUGACACUGAGGAUGUGACCAAGAGGAAGGGCCACAGCUUCCUGCAGCACAAGAGGUGGAAUGACCUGCGCGUUCUCAGUUCUUGGCCCUGAGGGACCAGGUACCCACCUUGGCCAGCUGCUCUAAGGUCCCCACGGUAGUGAUCCUAAGCAAGGCCUUGGGAUACUUGCAAGACCUGGCGUGAACCGAGAAAAAGAUGUCUAUGGAGAAAACGCAGCUCCAACGCCAGCAACAGCAAUUGCAGAAAUGAAUUGCGUACCUCAGUGGC
rnacentral:lncRNA from 1 species